GAUGAAGAACGUAGUGAAAUGCGAUAAGUAGUGUGAAUUGCAGAAUUCAGUGAAUCAUCGAAUCUUUGAACGCACAUUGCGCCCCUUGGUAUUCCAUGGGGCAUGCCUGUUCGAGCGUCAUUUGUACCUUCAAGCUUUGCUUGGUGUUGGGUGUUUGUCCCGAGGGACUCGCCUUAAAGUAAUUGGCAGCCAGUGUUUGGUUUUGAAGCGCAGCACAAGUCGCGAUUCAAGGCUACACGCCCGCUUCCACAAGCCUUUUUUCACUUUUGACCUCGGAUCAGGUAGGGAUACCCGCUGAACUUAAGCAUAUCAAUAAGCGGGGGA
rnacentral:misc_RNA from 1 species